AGAAGCAGCCAUCAUUUAAAGAGUGCGUAAUAGCUCACUAGUCGAGUGACACUGCGCCGAAAAUGUACCGGGGCUAAACAUAUUACCGAAGCUGUGGAUUGUCCUUUGGACAAUGGUAGGAGAGCGUUCUAAGGGCGUUGAAGCAUGAUCGUAAGGACAUGUGGAGCGCUUAGAAGUGAGAAUGCCGGUGUGAGUAGCGAAAGACGGGUGAGAAUCCCGUCCACCGAUUGACUAAGGUUUCCAGAGGAAGGCUCGUCCGCUCUGGGUUAGUCGGGUCCUAAGCUGAGGCCGACAGGCGUAGGCGAUGGAUAACAGGUUGAUAUUCCUGUACCACCUAUAAUCGUUUUAAUCGAUGGGGGGACGCAGUAGGAUAGGCGAAGCGUGCGAUUGGAUUGCACGUCUAAGCAGUAAGGCUGAGUAUUAGGCAAAUCCGGUA
rnacentral:rRNA from 1 species